rnacentral:rRNA from 1 species
UACGGAGGGUGCAAGCGUUAAUCGGAAUUACUGGGCGUAAAGCGCACGCAGACGGUCUGUCAAGUCGGAUGUGAAAGCCCUGGGCUCAACCUGGGAACUGCAGUGGAAACUGGCAGACUAGAGUCUUGUAGAGGAUGGUGGAAUUCCAGGUGUAGCGGUGAAAUGCGUAGAGAUCUGGAGGAAUACCGGUGGCGAAGGCGGCCAUCUGGACCAGGACUGACGUUGAGGUGCGAAAGCGUGGGGAGCAAACAGG